rnacentral:rRNA from 1 species
UACGUAGGGUGCAAGCGUUGUCCGGAAUUAUUGGGCGUAAAGAGCUCGUAGGCGGUCUGUCACGUCGGCUGUGAAAAACCCGAGGCUCAACCUCGGGCCUGCAGUCGAUACGGGCAAACUAGAGUACUGCAGGGGAGACUGGAAUUCCUGGUGUAGCGGUGAAAUGCGCAGAUAUCAGGAAGAACACCCGUGGCGAAGGCGGCUCUCUGGGACGGUACUGGACGCUGAAGGAGCGAAAGCUAGGGGAGCAAACGGG